GUCGCUGUAGCUUAACGGAUAAAGCAGACCCGUCCUAAGGGUAAGACUGGGAGUUCAAUUCUCCCCAGCGACG
rnacentral:tRNA from 1 species